ensembl:lncRNA
GCUGCAGAGGCAGCCGCCAGGGCCGCGGAGGAGGAGGCCAGGCGGAGGGGGCGCCUGGCAGGCGAGUACGCAGCAUGCCUCGGUCACCAACUGGUGCUCCUUCGCCAAGACCUCCGUGCAAGGCAGGAACAGUGGGGCUCCUUCUGCUCGGCGCUGAUGGCCGCUCGGCGGCUGCUGAAGGCACAUUCAGGCUCCAGGUCCGCAAAGUCCUCCCAGGCUGGGCAGAACCCAGAAGGGUGUGUACCUGGUAACUCUGAGUCAGGCUGCGUGGGAUCAGGGCUAGGGAGGGGCCGCGUGGCUUCGUGGGAUCCCAGGGCUGGCCACGCCAAAGUGUCCCUCUUCCAUCCCUAGUUGUCCCUCCCUCUGAUUUGGUCCUCCCCCNNNNNNNNNNNNNNNNNNNNNNNNNNNNNNNNNNNNNNNNNNNNNNUCUGGGCAGCCUGUCCCAGGUCGUGCUGCAGGAGGGCCACCGCCUGAAAGCCUGGGGCGUCCUUGGCACAGGCACUGGGGCGGAGCUGCUACGGCCAGCCUCAGCAAGCCCUCCAGGGGAUGCCAAAAACAUCGGUGUGCAUCCUGUCACCAAGCUGAUGGUCCCUGGCCCGGACUGUGUGAUGCUCCCAGCCAGUGGCCAGGCAGGGCCCAUACCCCCGGGCUACUUCAUCCACCCUGACACAGGGCGGGUGCUGCCCGAGGCUGGAAAUCUGGGUUACGAUNNNNNNNNNNNNNNNNNNNNNNNNNNNNNNNACUGCAGUUCUGGUGAGACUCCUACCACUCUAACUCCACCGAGUGUGGGCUGUCCGGAAUGAACCCCCCAGGGGCACAGCAUGGGGAGCAGGGCCCUGGCCUUGGGCAGUGGGGCUUGGGGACAUAGAGCAGUAAACACCUUCUCCCCCUCCCUCCCUUAACAUUCUUGCUACAAAGGUGCCCUGCUGAAGAGAGCAGUCAGAUGAAAGAAACACAUGCCAGAGGCUCUCUGCCCCUGCCCUGCUGGGCUCCGGAGGGAUGCAGACAGGCCAGCGUGUGUUAACGCCUUGCUGUCUCCCUGUCCAGGUGGCAUCCGAACCUCAGAAGCUGCCAUCCUUCCCUACGUGCCCUACCCGACCUGUCUUGCCACAGGCUCCCUGCCAGCCACCCACCUGCCUGUCCUGCAGCCGAGAAGGACGUCACAGUCAGGGGCUCUCAUGACAGACCCCAUAACGGGCAUCGAGGUGCCCGUGCUGGCUGUGACUCUGCACCCUCAAACAAGGCAGUGGCUCACUCUUGGGGGGGCGUACCGCAAUCCACUCACCCAGACCCUGGCCCCUCUGGAGCUGGGGGGCCCCAUGGAGGAUCCGGUCACAGGAGGCAUCUCACCGAUCCUGGGAGUCGGGUUGGAUGAAAACACAGGCCAGGUGCUUGCACUGGGAGGACUUCGAGAUGCCUCGGGGAACCUCCUGCUGCCUGGUGACAGCUUUGUGGAGCCACUGAGCAGGAAGCCAGUCCGGCUCCAGGGGGCUUCCCGACUGGAGGGCCACACAGUGCCCCAUACAGGAGGGCCCCAGGGCCUACUGGAUGCCAAUGUGCUGGCAGCCCAGAGGCGAGUGAUUGCAGUGCUCCGGAGCUCCCAGGAGAGGCCAGGGCCGAGGGGACAGGGGCUCCUGGAGGCUGCCGUCAAGGACAUGAGACAGGCACUGGCCCUGAGCCUGCACCACCUCCUGCAGCAGGCCCGGUGGCUGCAGAGACAGCAGGAGGCAGCGGAGAGCCUGGAGGCCAGCGGCGGCAGGAUAGGUGAGGCUCCCCGGCCCCGAAAGCCCAGAACCAGAAUGACCUGGAGCUUUACUGCCCCUCAGCCCGUAAGCUCAGGGACAGGCCUGCAGCCUCACCGGCCAGUCACACAUGGGAUCAAGGGAAGAGAAAGAAUUCAGUGACUUCAUGCCGUGAGCUCAUGAAUGCUUGGCUUUCAAUCUCAGUGUUUUAACCUCUGGCCAAUUCCACUGGGUCUUACACUUGAUGUUAGUAAAGUGGAUAUUCUCUGGUAAUUUCAUAGGACCCCCAAGCACCGUAACAUGUGAUGAUGCCCACUUUACACUGCAGAAUCUGAAGCUGAGGGAGCUAAGAGACUCACCCACAGGGUCCCAUAGCUACUUAACUGCACAGCGGGGCCUAAAGCCUAAGUCUCCGGAGUCCCCAGUCUCCUUGUCAACAGCCUUCAACUUCCCAUGAAUAAACUCAGGAAAGGAGCCCACCCAACUCCUCUACCUCCCCUACAGCACCAGCAGAAGGAAAGGCAGGGAAAGGAAGUAGCAGCGGCAUCUUGCUGGAGCUUAUCUCACACACUUCUAGAAACUUCUGCCCAGGAUGUGUCAGAAAAGAACCA